rnacentral:sRNA from 1 species
AUUCUUGGUCAUUUUAGAGGAAGUAAAAGUCGUAACAAGGUUUCCGUAGGUGAACCUGCGGAAGGAUCAUUAAUGGGAGAUAAUCUGGACCGUGUACAAGUCUCCUGAAUGCUUAACUUGCAUGUGCACGCCUCAACCGGAUGUUACUUGUCCUCUUCACACACCUGUGCACCAUCUGUAGCUGGGGGAUGAUCACGAGAUUGUCGAAUGCCCCUCGUUACGAAUUGUUUUUACAUUGCCGAAUAUAAUAAAGUUUUUUGGAACGUUUGGGAAAUUGGAAAUACAACUUUCAGCAACGGAUCUCUUGGCUCUCGCAUCGAUGAAGAACGCAGCGAAAUGCGAUAAGUAAUGUGAAUUGCAGAAUUCAGUGAAUCAUCGAAUCUUUGAACGCACCUUGCGCUCCUUGGUAUUCCGAGGAGCAUGCCUGUUUGAGUGUCAUGAAAUUCUCAACUGCUUUGGCUUUAUUGUUCAAAGUGAAGUUGGAUGUGGAGUUUGUUGGCUGUUGUUCGACUACUCCAAAAAGCAUUAAAGCGGCCUUUGUUGGCAGAAAGUAUCUUUGACGUGAUAAUUGUCUACGUCGUAGAGAAAGCCUUUGGGAGCUUUGUAACAAUUUUUGACCUAUUCGACCUCAAAUCAGGCAGGACUACCCGCUGAACUUAAGCAUAUCAAUAAGCGGAGGA